CGUGCACACGCAAAGCAGAACUGGCCACGCUUCUGCACAAAUGAGCACAAGAUAGCAAAUCACAAUUUGAAAAAAAAGAUUAUUGAAGAAUCUGUACUUCAAUGGUUAAAAUCUGAACCUACGCCUAGACAGUUAUUCGUUAAACUUCAAGAAGAGGUCAUCCAUCCCUCAGGCCAUCACUCAUUUAGCUCACGUGACUUUGCAGAAGAUUGCUGAUUCUGUGCUCGAGCCCUGGUAAACGAAGGAAUUACAGCAUUAAAGAAUCCUUGGUGCAGUUCCGAUC
rnacentral:lncRNA from 1 species